GAGCAAAGACGUCAAGUUGGCUGAGGCACACCAGCAGGAGUGCUGCCAGAAAUUUGAACAACUUUCCGAAUCUGCAAAAGAAGAACUGAUAAAUUUCAAACGGAAGAGAGUGGCAGCAUUUAGAAAGAAUCUAAUUGAAAUGUCUGAACUGGAAAUAAAACAUGCCAGGAACAAUGUCUCCCUUUUGCAGAGCUGUAUUGACUUGUUCAAGAAUAACUGAUAUGCCUUCACUCAGAAGAAAAGAAAUGAAUGUGAAAGAAAGCCAAGCAUCACUUGCACUUAAAUCAUUACCACGGAAGAUAUAUUAGCUUCAACUUUAGUUUAAAAUUAUGUGAAUAAAUAUUUUGAUUUCUACAAAUCUUAACAUUUAACCAUGUUGGUUUAAAAAUAUUAUUGCUUGCUACUUGGACAUAACUAAUUUUUCCUUGUGCAUUUAAUACCUCUGGGCAGAAUCCAAAUACUGGGUUCUCCCGUAGUUCGUCUUUAGUUACUAAGAAAGGGUGUAGGACACAUUAGCCUUCUGGAAACAAGUAGAAGCCAUCACCUGGCCCAUGUCCCUACAAACCCAUGAUUGUCAGGGAGGUGCCAGUUACAGCAGGUGAUUCAGCUACUUGAGGUCGGUAACAGACCUUCCAUUCCUCACUGAAGGUGGGGUUUGUGUUUUUGUUUUGCCCUGUUACUCCACUGGUAGUCAUCUGGUGUUUGUACUAUAACAACAGCAAGAAAAUCUCAUUUAUCUUUAUAUACUCUUUGCACCUCCUUUUUUUAGUCGAGAUAUAAAUAUUUGAGGGGAGAGAAAUAUCUACAGGUAUAUAUGGAAACAAAUAAUGUGGUCUGCUUUAUAAGAUGGCCAGAUCUACAUUAGGAAAAGUAUAAGCCCCCUCCCUAAUGGCCGCUGGGGGGUGAGGGCGGUGUGUUGUAUGUCUUUGGGUGUUUGUUUUUUUAUAAAGCAUAUAAUAAAAUAAUCGUGCUACU
rnacentral:lncRNA from 1 species